UGGGCGACUCUAAGGAGGACUGCCGGUGGACAAACCGGAGGAAGUGGGAUGACGUCAAGUCAUCAUGGCCCUUACGGCCUGGGCUACACACGUGCUACAAUGGUCGGUACAAAGGGUUGCCAAGCCGCGAGGUGGAGCUAAUCCCAUAAAACCGAUCGUAGUCCGGAUCGCAGUCUGCAACUCGACUGCGUGAAGUCGGAAUCGCUAGUAAUCGUGAAUCAGAAUGUCACGGUGAAUACGUUCCCGGGCCUU
rnacentral:rRNA from 1 species